rnacentral:rRNA from 1 species
GUACUCGGGAGGAAGUGGUAAAAUGCUUUGAUCUCUCGAUGACCACCUGUGGCGAAGGCGGUCUACCAGAACACGUCCGACGGUGAGGGAUGAAAGCUGGGGGAGCAAACCGGAUUAGAUACCCGGGUAGUCCCAGCCGUAAACUAUGCAAACUCAGUGAUGCAUUGGCUUGUGGCCAAUGCAGUGUUGCAGGGAAGCCGUUAAGUUUGCCGCCUGGGAAGUACGUACGCAAGUAUGAAACUUAAAGGAAUUGGCGGGGGAGCACCACAAGGGGUGAAGCCUGCGGUUCAAUUGGAGUCAACGCCAGAAAUCUUACCCGGAGAGACAGCAGAAUGAAGGUCAAGCUGAAGACUUUACCAGACAAGCUGAGAGGUGGUGCAUGGCCGUCGCCAGCUCGUGCCGUGAGAUGUCCUGUUAAGUCAGGUAACGAGCGAGAUCCCUGCCUCUAGUUGCCACCAUUACUCUCAGGAGUAGUGGGGCGAAUUAGCGGGACCGCCGCAGUUAAUGCGGAGGAAGGAGGGGGCCACGGCAGGUCAGUAUGCCCCGAAACUCUGGGGCCACACGCGGGCUGCAAUGGUAAUGACAAUAGGUUCCGAAUCCGAAAGGAGGAGGUAAUCCCUAAACAUUACCACAGUUAUGACUGAGGGCUGCAACUCGCCCUCACGAAUAUGGAAUCCCUAGUAACUGCGUGUCAUUAUCGCGCGGUGAAUACGUCCCUGCUCCUUGCACACACCGCCCGU